UACGUAGGGGGCGAGCGUUGUCCGGAUUUAUUGGGCGUAAAGAGCUCGUAGGCGGUUUGGUAAGUUGGAUGUGAAAUCUCCAGGCUCAACUUGGAGGGGUCAUUCGAUACUGCCAUGACUAGAGUUCGGUAGGGGAGUGUGGAAUUCCUGGUGGAGCGGUGAAAUGCGCAGAUAUCUGGAGGAACACCGGUGGCGAAGGCGGCAUCCUGGACCAUUACUGACGCUGAGGGGCGAAAGGUAGGGGAGCAAACGGG
rnacentral:rRNA from 1 species